rnacentral:rRNA from 1 species
GCCAGCAGCCGCGGUAAUACGUAGGGUGCAAGGCGUUAAUCGGAAUUACUGGGCGUAAAAGCGUGCGCAGGCGGUUAUAUAAGACAGAUGUGAAAUCCCCGGGCUCAACCUGGGAACUGCAUUUGUGACUGUAUAGCUAGAGUACGGCAGAGGGGAUGGGAAUUCCGCGUGUAGCAGUGAAAUGCGUAGAUAUGCGGAGGAACACCGAUGGCGAAGGCAAUCCCCUCGGGCCUGUACUGACGCUCAUGCACGAAAGCGUGGGGAGCAAACAGGAUUAGAUACCCUGGUAG